UAGAAAGUACGUCGACAGAAAUGUGAAAUUUUAACUACUUUUCUUUUUGAAGAUGUCUCAUUAAAUGGGAGUAAGGUUCAAGUUAGAGCUUUAAUGGCCCAGAAAGAGUUCUCUUAUACCCGGUUGAUGUUUUGGUUUCAAGUUUGGAUCCACCUAAUGAAAGGUUUACUUGGUUUGAAUGUCAUUAAGUUAGAAUUGGAGACUAAGAUUUGGGCUAAUAUGUAGACUUACGAUAUCUCUCCAUCUCCUCCUGAAUGACUUCUACUAAGUGUAUGAAAUUUAUUUUCCGAUGUGUAUUUGCAGGGCAAUGAUAUUCAUGCAUUUGGUAAUUAGUGAUGUUGAUAGGAAGGAAGAGGUAAAUUGUGAAUGUUUAGCAUUCUCAGGUGGCUGGUGCUCUCAAGUGGAGCUUCCUGGUGAUGUUGUUAUUGCAGCUUGUGGUUGGAUCGGGUCUUGGCCUUGAAAGGAAUCAAGCAUGCAGUGCUGGUCUGUCUCUUUUUGGAGAUCGAUGGAAAGGU